AAUUUACUGGCUCAGUUGGUAGAGCAGGAGUUUCUUAAACUCAGGGUCGUGGGCUUGAGCCCCAUGUUAGGCA